UGAGGAAUAUUGGUCAAUGGGCGGAAGCCUGAACCAGCCAUCCCGCGUGAAGGAAGAAGGCCUUAUGGGUUGUAAACUUCUUUUCUGUUUGAAGAAUAAGCUUGUCGAGACAAGUGAUGCCGGUAGGACAGGAAUAAGCAUCGGCUAACUCCGUGCCAGCAGCCGCGGUAAUACGGAGGAUGCAAGCGUUAUCCGGAUUUAUUGGGUUUAAAGGGUGCGCAGGUGGUUUAAUAAGUCAGUGGUGAAAGUCUGCCGCUUAACGGUAGGAUUGCCAUAGAUACUGUUGGACUUGAAUAUGGAUGAGGUAGGCGGAAUGUGUAGUGUAGCGGUGAAAUGCUUAGAUAUUACACAGAACACCGAUUGCGAAGGCAGCUUACUAAGCCAUGAUUGACGCUGAGGCACGAAAGCGUGGGGAUCAAACAG
rnacentral:rRNA from 1 species